AGAAUCAACGCUGGCGGCGUGCCUAACACAUGCAAGUCGCACGAGAAAGUGGAGCAAUCCACGAGUAAAGUGGCGCACGGGUGAGUAACACGUGAAUAAUCUACCUCCGAGUGGGGAAUAAACUGAGAGAAAUCUUAGCUAAUACCGCAUAAUACCCACGGGUCAAAGCAGCAAUGCGCUUGGAGAGGAGUUCGCGGCCGAUUAGCUAGUUGGCGGGUAAUGGCCCACCAAGGCGAUGAUCGGUA
rnacentral:rRNA from 1 species